UAAUGGUAGUUCUGGUGAUCCCACAUUUCUCCAGCUUACUUAUCAGAAUGUCAUGUAUAUUAUGUUCACUGCUUUCCUCCUAUCAACCAAACCAGUUACCUUGUCGAAGAAAAUUUAAGCUGAUUUGUUCUUGGUAAAUCAAGUACUGAGAGUCCAUGAUUCCCUUCUGGAGGCCAAAUCCAAACAAUAAUGCUUUGUAAAUGUAUGGAGAAAGGAUCCUGUCACACCUUUGCAGAUAUCUGAAAGAAAAAUACCUCUGAGAUAGGCAAUAACAGCAGCCUUGAUGUGGCUUUCCAGCUUCAGGCCAGCCAGGUCAUAUUAAAAAAAAGGAGAUCCACUUGGAUCCUCGUGAUAACAGCAAUACCCAGAAAACUGUUAACAAAAGGAAAAAAGCUGGGAGCACUUUCCAAGCCUUUCGCUGCAC